rnacentral:rRNA from 1 species
GACGAACGCUGGCGGUGUGCUUCACACAUGCAAGUCGAACGAGGUAGCAAUACCUAGUGGCGGACGGGUGAGUAACGCGUGGGAAUCUGCCUUAAGAUGGGGGAUAACGAGCCCGAAAGGCUCGCUAAUACCGCAUAUGCCGAAAGGUGAAAGGAGUAAUCCGUCUUAAGAUGAGCCCGCGUCCGAUUAGCUAGUUGGUAGGGUAAAGGCCUACCAAGGCGACGAUCGGUAGCUGGUCUGAGAGGAUGAUACAGCCACAAUGGGACUGAGACACGGCCCAUACUCCUACGGGAGGCAGCAGUGGGGAAUUUUACGCAAUGGGGGAAACCCUGACGUAGCGACACCGCGUGAGCGAAGAAGCCCCUUGGGGUGUAAAGCUCUGUCAGCUGGAACGAAAAAAAAUGACGGUACCAGCAGAGGAAGCAUCGGCUAACUACGUG